rnacentral:lncRNA from 1 species
UCUCUUACUAUGUUUCCUAUAAUAUAUUCUCACUUGCUUUCUAAUGUGUUUUCAUGCAGUUUUCUCUACUAUGUUCUUGUCUUCUUUGACCGAGUUUUACACUCCGUACUUGUAUGUUCUUCUACUGUGUUUUCUAUGCCAUCUUCUCGCAUGCUUUGUUACUAUGUUCUGCUAUCUUCUUCUAUGAUGUGUUGUGUUUCUCCUAUUGUAUCAUUCUACCAUGUUCUUAAGUAUUCCUGCUAUUUUUACUGGGUUUUAAGUUUUCUCCUAUAAAAUACCUGUUUAAAUAUGUGUUGCUUCUAAUAUCUCAUCCACUAUUACUUGUUCCCUUGUUAUACUUCGAAUUAGCUUUUUCACUCUAUUUACUUAACCUUUCUAGUUUGCAUGUUCUCUCACGAGUUUCUGAAAAGAAAUCCUUAAGUUGGUUGCCUCCUGAUCUCUGUGUUUGAUCCGAUCUGAAACUCUAUAUUUUGGGGUUUUACUUUGGCAAUUUGGUUUUGAGUUUGAGUUUUGAUUCCACUUUGGAACACUGGACUCACAGACUCAUUGAGAGUCUGCAUUUGAACUUGUACCCCUUUGCUUUUGACCCUGAACCUCUCAAUAUAGGCUAAUUGUUUCCUAAAUUGCAU